rnacentral:tRNA from 1 species
GGAUAUACCUCAGUUGGCAGAGUGCUUGCCUCACAUGCACAAGGCCCUGGGUUCCAUCCCCAGUAACACA